GAGGAACCAUAUCAUAUCUACCACAUCAAACUCCAUAGUUAACACUCAUAAAAUAGACAUUUUCCCCUUGUUUCCACAACAUGACACGAGCAUGAGAAAACAUUGUUCUUGGAACCAACAUGUACCAACCGGCAGAGAAAACAAUGUUAGGAACAUGUGGUCUGACAAAAGAAAUCUAUAGUCAGAAGUCAAAGACACUCCUUUUUUUUUU
rnacentral:lncRNA from 1 species